CUCUUCUUUAUCACACGUUAUUUCAUCCGUCGUAUUCUCAGUAACCCCAAACGAAUACUUCCUCCGGGUCCGAAUGGGUGGCCGGUUGUGGGUGCUCUUCCACUCUUAGGUUCCAUGCCUCAUGUCGAACUAGCCAAGUUAGCCAAGAAGUAUGGACCUGUAAUGUACCUCAAAAUGGGAACCUGUAACAUGGUGGUGGCUUCAACCCCGGAUGCCGCUCGAGCUUUCCUUAAGACCCUUGACUUGAAUUUCUCUAAUCGACCAUCCAAUGCUGGUGCCACCCACAUAGCCUAUGACUCUCAAGACAUGGUGUUUGCGGAGUAUGGUCCGAGGUGGAAAUUGCUUCGUAAACUGAGUAACCUCCACAUGCUUGGUGGCAGAGCCCUUGAGGAUUGGUCCCAAGUCCGGGCUGUUGAGCUAGGCCAUAUGCUUCGGGCCAUGUGCGAGUCUAGCCGAAAGGGUGAGCCAGUGGUGGUGCCGGAAAUGUUGACGUAUGCCAUGGCCAACAUGAUCGGGCAAGUGAUACUGAGUCGGCGAGUAUUCGUGACCAAAGGGUCGGAGUCGAACGAAUUCAAGGACAUGGUGGUGGAGCUCAUGACGUCCGCCGGCCUCUUCAAUAUAGGUGACUUUAUACCUUCUAUUGCGUGGAUGGAUUUACAAGGGAUUGAAGGCGAGAUGAAGAAAUUACAUAAAAGAUGGGAUGUACUUUUGACAAAGAUGAUGAAAGAGCAUGAGGAAACAGCUUAUGAACGCAAGGGGAAGCCUGAUUUUCUUGAUAUAAUUAUGGAUAACAGAGAAAACUCUGCAGGGGAAAGGCUUAGUUUGACCAAUGUCAAGGCGCUUCUGUUGGUAAGUCGAGUUUGAGUUUAUACUUUCCAAGUUCCAUAUUCGUAAAUUAAUGAUAACUAUGCUUGAAUUUUGCAUGGUAGAAUCUAUUCACAGCUGGCACCGACACAUCCUCAAGCAUAAUCGAAUGGGCAUUAGCUGAAAUCCUGAAGAACCCAAAAAUACUGAACAAAGCUCACGAGGAGAUGGAUAAGGUGAUUGGCAGAAACCGAAGGCUUGAAGAAUCCGACGUACUCAAGCUUCCCUAUCUUCAAGCCAUUUGCAAAGAGACCUUCCGAAAGCAUCCAUCUACUCCCUUGAACUUGCCUAGAGUGUCCACCCAGCCUUGCGAGAUCAAUGGCUACUACAUCCCCAAAAACACCAGGCUGAGUGUCAAUAUUUGGGCCAUUGGCCGAGACCCUGACGUGUGGGGCAACCCACUGGAUUUCACCCCUGAAAGGUUUCUGAGUGGGAGAUUUGCCAAAAUCGACCCCAGAGGGAACGACUUUGAGUUGAUUCCAUUUGGUGCUGGGCGAAGAAUCUGUGCUGGAACCAGGAUGGGGAUCGUGCUGGUUGAGUACAUCUUAGGCACUUUGUUGCACUCUUUCGACUGGAUGCUUCCUCCCGGUACUGGGGAAUUAAACAUGGAUGAGUCCUUUGGGCUUGCUUUGCAAAAGACCGUGCCUCUUUCUGCCAUGGUUCGUCCACGCCUCGCACCAACUGCUUAUGUUUCCUAAGCACAUCCCUUGCCUUAUCACUGCUCAUUUUUCCUACUUCUGCUGCUUGCGUUAUCUGAUAUUCAAGCUUGCGUUAUCUUUUAGUUUCAAUUCUACUCUAAAAACAAUCUUGCAUGCCUUUCCAUUCGAUCUUAUCCAUACCUACCUAUACUAUCAUACUAACCUUUAUUUAGGGUGGUGAGUAUUCAUUGAGUUGAGUCGAAUCAAAGUAAAAAAAUUUCGAGUUAAUCAAGUUGAUGAAUCUUAUUUUAGCAACUGAACUUAAUUUAAUAUUUUUUCGAAUCGAAUCGAGUCAAAAAAAAUUUAGUCAAGUCGAGUCAACGAAUUUUAUAAUUUAUACUAAAUGUUACGUUUACAUGAACCGAUUAUUUUAACUAGUAGACGAAGUAUAAAAUUAUUUAACUAUAUAAACAAUAUGAUAGUUUUGUCUUUAAAGUUAAUGAGUAAACAUUUAUCAAAAUGAUAUAGUUUAGCUUUUUAACUUAAUAGUUUUGACUUUUAACUUUAGAAAAUGUAAAAAUUUAUCAAAACUACGUAAUUUUACUUUUUCUUAUUCGGAUUUUCGGAUAACUCAAAUUGUAUAAUUCAUAUUUGAGAUAAACUGAAAAACUUAAAUUUUUAUUCAAGUUAAUCCGAAUAAGUUAAUGGCUUAGGAAGGCAAUGUAGUUGUAAUACCAUGUAGUUGGUCGGAGGUUGAAUUGUAUUAUUAUCUGUAUGUUAAAUUGAAGCUUAUCAUGUGUUAUGUUAGGAAGCUGAAUUUUCAGAUGAACUUAUGUUCCUUGGUUCUUUUCAUAUGUUACUGUGGCCAUAAAAUCCAUUCUUUUGUUAGAUAUUUCCUCCAUUCUUUUCUAAUUUUUAUGGGGUUAUAUUGUUGUUUUUCUGUACUCUAAACCCUAUCCUACCAAAAUGGCUGAACUUGAAAGUUACUAAUGUUGGUGCUACAAUAAUGAUUUGGAAAAUCUUGAAAAUGGAGAUAUAUACUUUUUAUUGUUUGGACCUAGAAAGCAAAGUGAGAAGGAAAAAAUUUAAAAAUUGACUGAUGUUUCUUUGGAAGGAAAAAAAAGCAAGAUCCCUGAGGUAUGGACUAUCAGUGCCUGUUCUUAAGUGCUAUUUGUUCUGUUGGUUAUUUAUUAUGAAUGUUGGAGAUGAGUUGGAGGAGGUAAGAUUUGAUGGGUCGUAACAAGAAAAAUAACCUAUUCUGUUAUACCACCCUUAAAAGUGCUUCCUUUUCUGGUGUAAUGGUUUUUACUGGUCUUCAAUGAUAUCUAGAAAUGGUUUUUAGAGCUAGCUGAUGUGGGCAGUUAUUUUGCUUAAGAUUUUCUUAAGGUGUUGUAACUUGAGGACCUUAUGAAAAUGAUAGAGAUACCAAGAGGAUCAUUGCAUGUAAAAGUGAGAUUGUGGAGAGUAUAAUCUGACAAAUGUGAAGCUGUACAAAUGGUUGAAGGAGUAUAGUAAAAUUGUUCAUCGGACUCAGUUAUUUGGAUGAGAUUUUAGUUCAACGGAGUUUCCCUUUUAAUUGUUUUACAAUAUUUUAUGCCUCUUCAUUGUUUUACAUUAUUUUAUGUAUUUGGUUAGGACCCAUUCUGCUUCUUCUCAUUGAUAGAAAAUAAUCCAUUAUAAAUAUCUGUGACAACUCUGAUUUCUAUUAUUAAGCAUAGCAGCAUGUUAACUAAUCUUUUUCACUUUUAUACUUAAAUUUUAUCAUAUCUAAUACUUUUGUUUCUAUUUCUUUGUUAUCGUUUUAGAUUCAGGUCAGGUGCAGAUUGAAGAGGAUAAAGUUUCUCUGGAUGUGAAUAAGAAAAGAGCGGUGAAAACACCAGCCCAGGUUAUAGUUCUUGAGAACUUCUAUAAAGGUAAUAAUUCUUGUCUUCUAAUUGAAAUGUUUUGUUUUUUCUGUUUCCAAAGGUUUUUGGUUCUUUUACAGACGAAAGAUUUGCUUCAGAUGAAAUGAAAGCAAAACUGGCUGUUCAACUAGGGUUGACACAAAAGCAGAUAUCUAGUUGGUUUUGUCACAGAAGGUUAAAAGACAAAAGGAGAGAUGACUACUACGCUAAUGUGCAACAUGAUUAUUCUAGUGGUGUUAUCCAGGAUCAUGUUAGCGGGCUCAGGCAAGAUUCUUGUGGCAGUAUUAAGCAGGGAGAUUACAGAAAUAUUGAUCUGAGGGAGGUAGAAAGUCGAAUAAUUCAUGGCCAAGGGUUUCCAGCUGCUGACCUCACAUACGAGCGUAGAAGUCAUCAAUAUCCAUAUGGCGUUCAGAUGGAGGAUCCAUCUUCUGAAAGUAGUCUGUCUUUGCACGAUCAGCUUUUCUUGAAAAGUGGGAAUCCUUAUGACAUGCACAUUUCAGCUAAACCUACACAAAAUGGAGCAAUUGUGCAGACAAACUCGAGUUCUAAAAGCAUAGGUUAUAAGCCAUCUGGAUAUUUGAAGGUUAAGGGUCAAAGUGAGAAUCCUGUUAUUAGUGCUGUCAAGAGGCAGAUGGGAAGGCAUUAUCGAGAAGAUGGUCCAGUGCUCGGAAUUCAAUUUGAUCCACUUCCUCCUGGUGCAUUUGAGUUCCCAAGUAGCCAUCCAGUCAACGGUAAGCCUAAUACCCAGAUCUGUUUGAUAUAUUGACAAUUUUCAUAGAAUCAUACAAGUUGCUUAAAUUUCUUUGUUUUUAUUGCUUGUUGCAUUGUUUUUCUGUCUGCUAAACAUUUAUUAGCUUCUGAAUUUAGAAAAUAAUUGUUAGAUUGAACUUCUUUCUACUGCCUUUAGGCAUUUGCUGUGCUGAUCAUGGUGAUGUCAGAAGCAAAUGCAUGAGAGAAAUCUCUUUAGUCUUUGAGAGAGAGGCAUUGGGGCAUAGUCCUUUUGUGUACAAGUUUUUUUAUUUUUAAAGUUGAGAUAAUGUUUUUUACAAUUUUAUAGCAGUUUAUAAAUAACAAAACAAAUUGUUCUACAAAAAAAAAAAAUUAUCCCUCCUCACUAAGGGCUAGUUUGGCAAUGUUUUUGAAAAGUGCUGUGAAAAAGUACUUUUGAAAAGUUUAGUUUAAAAUUUGAGUGUUUAGUAUUAUUGUCAAAAAGUACUUUUGAGAAAUAAAAUGUUCAUUGUAGACAUGUUAUUAUCAAGUAACAAAUAUGUAUUUAAAUAAAAUUUAAAUUAGUUAAUAUUAUUAUAUUUUAGUAAGAAUAUAAAAAAAUUAUUAUAACUUGUUGUUAAUAUUUUAAUAUAUGAAAUAGAAAUUUUAAAUAUUUGUAAGUAAUAAAUAUUAAUUACUUAUAAAAUUUAAUUAGAUUAUAUAAACUACAUUUUAAAUAUUUAAAUAUAACCAUUAAAGAUUUGUUUAAUUAGUAUUUUAAAAAAUAUUUUUAGUUUUAAUUAACGAUUUUAACACAUUUGUAAUUAAACACAAAAAAGGGAAAAGUACUAUAUUAUUAGAGGGUGAAAAAGUAAUUAAGCACUAAAAAUACUUUUGAGGGAGGAAAAGUUAAAAGUUUUAGUUUCUUCUUUUUAAAAGUGCUUUUGAAAGGCAUUUCUAAAAAGUCAAAAAUUCUAGCCAAAAACAAUUUGUUCUGCACAACUUUUCUUCCAAAAGUUCUUUUAGAGUCAGAAAUGUUUUUUUUAAGCAAAAAAACUGGCCUAAGAAGCCUAGACCUUAAUUCAAGUAAUAUCAAUGAUAAUUUAAACCAUCAUGACUAUCCCAUUAAAUAAUUUUAGUCGAGAUGCUGAGAAUUAUUUAUUCACUAUUUUCUUCUCUGUUUGCACAUAUGUAUACUUUUGUAUCUUAUCUUUUAAUCAUUUCCAUCUCCUUCCUUGAAUAUUUACUUUCUUAUUCCAUGUACUUUGUUCCUUUGAUGUUUCUUUAUUAUUAAAUAGCUAAUUUCCUAUAUGGUUUCAAUCUCCCAUUCACUUUCUUUUUCUUUUUUAUUUUUUCUGCUUUGAUCCCUCUAUCUCCAUUUGUUUUGUUUACCCUCAUAUCUACCCCCUUCCUUUCUCUGUUGAUCUUUCUUUUAUUUCCAUGGAUUUUUCCUUUUGAUUUCAAAAGCAUCUAUCUUUCUUGUUUUAUUGGCUUUAUUACAAGUUAUUUAAUGAUGAGAGUUAAAACUGCAGAGGAAUAAUGUUUCAAUGACAUAUGCAUUCCCUGUCUGUGGAAAAAAGGUGUAAGCCCUGCGGCGAAGUUUAUGAUUGUCAGAAAUUCAUAUUCCUAUGAGCUGUAUAUUUGACAUCUUGCUACAAUUUUCAGAUCAUUUUGGGUUCAAAUCAAUUGCGAGUUCAGGGCACUUAAGUUUAGGUUUCUCAGGUCAAAUCAUUACGAGCUUAGAUCAUUUUGGGCUCAUAUCAAUUUGGGUUUGGGAUGACUUUUAUGAUUAAAUUAGGUUUGAGUCCGGGUUGGUUGGGUCAAGUUAUCGAGUUUGGGUCAGAAUUGACAAGUCUAACAGAGAGUACACUCUUGCUAAUAUGCUUCCCUUGUAGUCUUGAAGCUUAACUUUGAUUAUCCUCAGCCUUGAAAUAUUUGAACUCAUCUAUAUCUUCCAUUGAUUGCAUGGCAGAGCUAAUCAAUAUUAGAGAUUUUCGGCAUCCCCACUGUUUAGAUAUCUCUAGAGUGAUGAAGCAGUCGAAGCCUAGGAUUGUAAGUGGAUUCUUGAUGCAUUUUUCAAAGUUUUAGCAUGCAUAAUGGACACCCAAACUAUAUUUAUAUUAUAUUUUGUAAUUUUAAGACCCUGUUAAACAGUGGUCACAAUAACUGAGAGUUAAUUUGUACUAGUUCAAUCAGUAUUUGAGCUAAAUAUGAUAAACUAUUUUUUCCUAAGGUGCCAUUUGCAAUCUUGUUGAAAGAGAACUAAAUUCAGGGUAAAGGUACAUGCAGCGGAGGCACACUAUAAUCUUGAUCUUCUAAAGAAUAUAGAUGUUCUAGGCAAGGCCUCUUUGAAGCUAGAUCAUCCCUUUUCAACAAAACAUCCACGUCAUUACUCACAUUAAAGAGCUCACAAAGAGCUUCCCUUAUAUCUUGAGGUAAUUCUUGGCAGUCCCUGCUGAUUUUGAUAGGUUUGUAGUCAUUCAAUGGGUUCUUAAGGUGUAGUGUCUUUUGGAAAGGCAGAUGAUUUAAGCAGAGCCAUUUGACCUUAAAACUGCAGCCCAAUGAUUACUUUUACCACUUCCUUGGCUCUAAACAUUAUAUCGCCUCAAUCCAACAGAAGACAUCAUUUGGGUAUAACCUUGGAAGAAACCACUCAUGUUGACACUAAAUAUUAAAAUAACAAAAACGAAAUUAUGAAAAGCAUCUUCUAAAAUUGGUUUUUCAUGACUUAAGUAGCCCAAAUUCCUUUUUCAAUUGAUAGUUGAAUAUUUUGGUGGUUCAAACUCUUAAUGAUGAAAUAUCUUGUAUUACACAAUUUGCCCCUUUUGUCUUCCAUAUGAGAAUACUCUAGGUCUUAUGCCUUAAAGAGAUAGCCAUCCUCAUUCUCUAAAUCAUCUAAAUUUCCCAUGUCAUUUUUCCAUUCAGUCAUAGAUGAAUCAACUGCAGAUGCAUUUUCUCUUGCAGUAUCAGAAGACAUAUCCUUAUUCACCUCCAGUCACAAUGCAGAUUAAUGAAAAAGAAAUCAAGCCAAACUCUAUUUAAGAGGGAAAACCAAACAGAAAGCAAAACAGAAAUGUUGAAGUUGAAGUUGAAGUUAAAGUGUAAGUGGAAGUACCAAGUGAUUGGCUAUGUAUUAGUGUCUUGGCCUUGCCUGUAGUAAAUGAACCCUAACUUUUGUUUCCCUUUUUUGUUUUUCUUUUUUUUUUCGAUUUUCAUUUCUUAGAAUUGAACCUUCCAACACGUUAGAAGGUGGGUUUACAACGAUUUAGUAUAGAAGAAGAAUAGAGUACUAAACUGAACUUUUCUAUUCCGAAUCUUGAAAGGAAUUCUUGCUAUGUUCAUUUUACAUCUCAAAUAUAUAAAGAGCUAGCAUAACUGCUCUUUCAACAAACUGUUAGCUAUAUUAACAAUUUCAGUUUCUAGCUAACUAACUGCAUUAACUAUAAACUCUAACAUCCACUCAUCUUCUCGACGGGAAAGACUUGAAGAAAAUUACGAAACUGAGUAAAAGACGUUACUGACUGUGGCUUGGUGAACACAUCAGCCACUUGAUCACAGGCGGGAACCUUACCAACCAUAAGCGAUCUAUCCGCAACUUUCUCACGUACAAAAAACAGAUCUAGCUCUACAUGCUUGAACUUAGAAUGUAGGAUAGGAUUGGCUGCAACCUCAACUGCACUUGAGCUAUCGCACCAUACAUUUGGAGUAUCAGCAGACUUAAGCUGUAGUUCUUGAAGUAACGAAAGGCAACUUCACUUGCGGCUGCGACAAGGCUCCUGUAUUCUGCCUCUGUCAUAGACCGCGACACCACUUGCUGCUUCUUAGAGACCAUGACACGAGAGUUUGUUCAAAGUACAUACAGUAUCCUGAAGUUGACCGCCGAUCAUCGAAAUCCAAACCCCACUUGGCAUCGGUAUAUCCAAUCAAUGACAAUUGAGCAGACGGAUGAACGGCUAUCCCAAAAUCAAGAAUGCCGUAAAAAUACCUCAAAAUGUGUUUCAGUACUACCAUAUGAGUAGUAGUAAGAUUAUGUAUGAACUGACAGAUCUGAUUUACUGCAUAUGCAAUAUCGGGCCUAGUUAGAACAACAUAUUAGAGAGCACCAGCAAGGUUAUUGUAUUCAGUCGGGUCAUUCAACCAUUCGCCAUUAUCUUUAGACAUAGUAGAUGAGCUGACCAUCGACGUAUGAACACUCUCUGCAUUGGUCAUCUAACACCGCGCAAGAAUGUCACGGAUAUAUUUCUUUUGACAUAAAUGUAGACACCAGGAUGAGUGAGUAACUUCUACCUGAGAAAAUAGUGAAGAAUGCCGAGAUCUUUAAGCAAAAAUUUGUCAUUUAACAUUCGAACAAACCAAUCUAUAGUAGUGAAUGAACUUCUGGUAACAAUAAUGUCAUCGACGUAUACAAGCACAUAUAGGGUAGAAUCAGACUGGAUUCGAACAAAUAACGAUGCAUCAUAUUUAGACCCAACGAACCCGAUAAAGAUGAGAAAUUGCUUCAACUUCUCAAACGACGCACGCGAAGCUUGAUGAAAAAGCUUUCUUCAGGUGACACACAAAAUGUGUACCUUUGGAAUCACACUUAACAUGCCCCGGAGGUUAUUGCAUAAACACCUUAAUGUCAAGAUCACAAUUUAAGAACGCAUUAUUUACAUUAACCUGAGGAAGUGGCCAUUCUUUUGAAACAGCAACGGAUAGAAUAACUCGGAUGGUAGCAGGUUUCACCACUAGACUAAACGUUUCUUUGAAAUCACAUCCAGGAACUUGAGAACAACCCUUAGCAACUAACCGAGCUUUCUUGCAGGUAAUGAUACCAUCAAGAUUUCACUUUAUUCUAAAUAGCCAUUUGCAGCCGAUGACCUUACGAUUAGGUGGUAGGUAAACAAGUUCCCAGGUAGAGUUGUGAAUAAGAGUAUCAUACUCAGCCUGAGCAGCAGCCCGCCACUCGGAGGUACUUCUUCAAUUUUAGAUGGCUCAACAUUCAGAGCUCACGGUUUGAAAAUACCUGCUUUAGCCCUAGCUACCAUAGGAUGAGUGUUGGUAACAGGAAAAAGAGAAUCCGGACUACUAUGAGAAGAUGAAGUAUUAUCAUUAGAUCUCAUGGAACAGGGAGCAUCGACAAGCAAAGGAAAAUCUGGACUGGGAGCAUCAGUCGGUGGUGAACAGGAGUGCUGAAACUCAGAGACCAUCUUAGAACCUAUCGAAAAAGUGUCAGCUUGAUACGAAACCAGUAGAAUAGCAGAGACCUCAAGAGGUCGAGAAGAGAUUUGCCGAACAAGAGGAACACCCAUGAAGCAGUAGCUUUUGAUACUGGAACAGAACCUUCUGAAGCAGACUCAGAUGAAAGAAACCUAUUCUCAUCAAACAUAACAUGUCGAGAGAUGACUACCUUACUGUUUGGUAACAAGCAUUGAUAACCCUUGUGUUGAGAGCUAUACCCCAAAAAGGUAGAAGGCUGAGACCGAAACUCUAAUUUAUGUGCCAAAAAUGGUCGUAAAUAUGGAAAACAACAACAACCAAACACUCGUAGAUGAUCGUAUGUGGGAUCAUGCCCAAAGAGAGCCCUAAAUGGAGAUUCUCCUUGUAAAACUACUAUAGGAAGUCGAUUAAUGAGAUGCACUACACAACAAAAGGCAUACCUCCAAUAUUCCAUGGAGAGAUUUGCUUGAGCUAACAACACGAGGCCUAUUUCAACGACAUGCCGAUGCUUACGCUCAGUCACUCUAUUUUGUUCAGAAGCAUAGGGACAAGUUAAUCGAUGAAUAAUCCUCUGAGAGGCUAGGAAAUACAUGAAGGCACGAUACUCGCCUCCCCAGUCACUCUACAGUUGUUUAAUAGAUUUUCCAAACCGUGUUUUGAUUAGCUGUUGAAAACUAGUGAAGCACUCGAUAGUCUAUGAAUUUUGAUGAAUGAGAUAAAUCCAAGUAAACCGAGUACACAUAUCAAUAAACGAUACAUAAUACCACUUAUUAUCACAAGCAACAGACGUUGGUCCCCAAAGAUCAGAUACAAUCAAUUCAAAAUGAGCAUAUGUAGUGGUUGAAACAGAAAAUGGCAAUUUAUGUGACUUCCUUUUCUGACAUGCAAUACAUACACCAUCAAGACAGAAUUUAUUUGAACCAAUACCAUAUUUUUCUAAAACAUUUUUAACUACAGAAGCACACGGGUGACCAGGACGGUUAUGCCACAAAGAGAACAUUGAACAAACCGCAACUUUAUUUUGUAUCCCAAUAUGAACAGCAGAAGAAACUUCAUCAGAUUGAGUAGACACCCUUCAGUAAAGUUUCCCAGGUCUUGAUGUCCUUAAUAACACAAUACGUUGGAUAAAACUCAAGAAAACAUCGUUGUCAUUAGCAAACUGAGACACAGAUAAAAGAUUCUUUCGUAUGCUUGGUACACAUAAAACAUUAAAUAACCGUAGCAAUUUAGACUGAGUAAGUAAUACCCCAUUACCAACCAACGAAAUGACAGCAGGUGUUCCAUCACCCAUUAGUAGAGGGGACGUACCUGAAUACGGCAUGGUAUCACUGAGCGCAAAAGUGUCGCGAUAUACAUGAUUACUAUCAUUGAAGUCGGGGUACCAUGACGCGGUGCCAACUGGCAUAGGAAUAUAGGAUUCAGUGCAAUCUCCGUUAGACCCGUACAGAGUAGUAUUUAUAUGGGAACCAAAAAAAUCAGAGUAGUCGGAGGCAUGUAAGUCGCCUAAGCAAGGAAGACUAAUGCAGGGGUCAAACCCAGUAUACACCCGGGCUCGUGGUUUAGUCUACCAAGUAACGGAGGUAGGACCAACAUUUUGUCCCGACCCAGGUGAUGGGCUAAUUUGAACAUAGUUAGAAGCGGGCUCAAACGGAUUUGAGGAAGCAAAUGGCCUAGCACCAACAUUUUGGCCCCCAAAGGUAUUCGGCCCAACAUGAGUUGGCCUAGGUGGAUUCAUCACCUGUAGUACAGGCUUAUAUGAUGCAUAUGGCACCAACAGCCCACGUGCCAAGUAAGAUGGUAUUCCAUGAUUCGGUCCACCAUAUGGACCCAUAAUUCCAAAAUUAUUUUGACCACUGUCCAACUGAUUUUGACUAAAGGCAUAUGCAACCCUAGGGUUCUUUGGUUGCGGCAUCCACCCCUCAUGCACCAGCUCAUCAUGCGGCAAUGCCCAAGCAGUAGCAGAGGACGACCCAAAUGCCGGAAGAAAAGCUAAACAGGGGGCACGGGCAAAUCACAUUGAUGCAACAUUGGAGGCCCCGACAGUGGCGGAUUAGAGUCCCAAUGAUACCGGUAAAAAUACCGUUAAGCGAGGUAGUUAAACCUCUUACAGAUCUAACAUUAAGACUGCGAUCAAAAACUCCGCCCUUGUCCCUGAGAAAAUGACUGGCCUCUAUGGACAGUCUCCUUCACCACUUGCGUUGGUGUGUUUUCGACGAUAUUGGUAUGGAGAGGAACAUCAUGGAUAGCACGAGCUUGACGGUUCUCACAUUUAACAAGGGUAUCGACCAACCUUUGGAAGGGCACAGCAGUAGUUGACAAUGAAAACAAAUAAAUAAUGGCCUCAAAUCCGAAGAAGACCGGUAAAUAUCACUUCCUUCUUCUCCUUAUUCGAAAUUCGUGAACCUGAAGUCUCCAACAACGUACACAAAUUCUUAAUCUGAGCUAAAUUAGUUUUAAUAGGUAGAUUACCUUUUUUAAUAAGUGUAGUUCAUGACGGAUGUGCGAAUGUUUGGCACUAGUGUCCACCACAAACAGAUUCGUUGACGUGGUCUAAACGUCGCAUGUCGAUUGAGCAUCAGUGAAGGAGGUUUGGUAAGUAGUACUGAUCCUGGAGAGAAGCCACGAUGUUAGAAGACAAUCUUGUUGCUUAAACACUUGAGCCGACGGAUUUGGUGCCAGAGAUCCGUGUGGUGCUUGUAUAAACCGAGACGGUGGAGGUAAGGUGCCAUCGAGAAACCCUAGAAGAUCAUAGCCAUCUAGAACAAGUCUUACUUGUUGUUGCCAUUGGAUGUAGGUUCCAUCAUCAAGUUUGACAACAUCAUGACGCGGAAACGAAUUGACCACACGAUUACUAUUGAACAAAGCAUAGCUCGGCUCAGCAGUGGCGGAAUCAAUAGAAGUCAUGUUAGCCAUAGGUCCUGGAUUAGCCAACGAAUAAUACCACGUUAGAAGGUAGGUUUACAAUGAUUUAGUAUAGAAUAAGAACAGAGUACUAAACUGAACUUUUCUAUUUUGAAUCUUGAAAGGAAUUUUUGCUCUAUUCAUUUUACAUCUCGAAUAUAUAAAGAGCUAGCAUAACUGCUCUUUCAAUAAAUUGUUAGCUGUAUUAACAAUUUCAGUUUCUAGCUAACUAAUUGCCUUAAUUGUAAACUCUAAAAAUAUAGGAUAAAAUUUACAUUUAUCAUUGAUAAGUCAUAAUUUAUACAUAUUUUUAUCUCAUGCUUAGCACAUAUUUGGAUGAAUUAUCAUUAGAUUUAUGGAAUUUGAUGCUCUUAAUCCUUUGAUUUUAUGUUUUAUACUUAGGUGAGCAUAGGAGAGUAAAAAGAGUGAGAAACGGGCCAAAAAUGGAGAAAAUGGGUCAACGUGGGAAAUCAACACGGCCUGGACUUCUUUACACGGGUAGACCACAUGCCCUUCUAGUUUUAGCAAACUCUAGCACGGCCUGGACUUCCUUACAUGGGUAGACCACAUGCCCGUGUCUAUUCAACAGAAUCUAACACGGUUGGAAGCACUUACACACGGGCGUGUCCCGUCGAGCCCAAGUUUAGUUCUAUUCGGAAAAGGGCACUCUUGAGGGUUUGGAAGCAUUCUAAAGCCUAUUUAAACACCCUAGAGGAAUCACUUAGGGGAAACGCGGAGUAGGAGGGAAGGAACUACUCGAAGAAAGCCGAUUGAUCCAUCUCAGAAGCCGGAUUCUCCUUCAAGACUGAAGAUCUCCCUUCACUUUCCUUCGAGUUUUUUAGGUUUCUUUAUAUUUUGUUAUCAUUAUUCUUUUGAGAUGUUUUCUUUUACACUUAUGAACUAAAUCCCCUAAAUACCUAAGGGGAAUGAAACCUAAGACGGAUCUUGUUAUUAUUUUCUGAAUUAUAUGAUAAAUAUUUGAUUUGAUCUUAAUUAUGUGUUCUUAAUUCUUGCUUUAAUAUUCCAGGAUAUUGAUUCAAGUAUUGAUGUGCUUAUUCAGAGGAGCAAAAGUCUCUGUCUAAGAGUAGAUCUAGCAUAAUUAAGCGGAGUUGAUUGCACCCCUAGACAUAGGGCGACAUAAAUCUGCCGGAUUAGGGUCAAACCUAAUAAGGGAAUCCAUAGAUCGAGUUAAUGCAACACUAGGGGUUUUAAUUAGAAAAUGGAUUUCAAUUAAUCAACCUAAGGUUAGACGUUGUUAGUCUCGAGAGAGAUAAUAAUAUAAAUUAGGAAUUUCUACGGAUCAAGUCAAAUGAAUAAAUCGUCUAAUUUAGAGUCAAAUAACAAGUUAUGUCUAGGUGGAUUUUUCCCUUGGGUAUUGUCUAAAUCAGUCAGUUUUCCCAAAAGUAUUUCCCUAAUUUACUUUUUGUGCAUUCUUAGUUUAGUUAAUUAGUUUAGAUAAAACAAAUCCCCUUAUUUUUAUGCUAGAUAAUAAAAAGAAGGUUAAUACUAGUACUUUUAGUUCCUGUGGGUUCGACAUUCCGGUCUUGUUAUAAACUAUACUACUGCUCGAUAGGUGCGCUUGUCUUUUUUGUGAUAAUAGUUAGUUUUCGAGUACGAUCAAUCAUAAAUUUAAAAACUUAUCACGAGACGAUCACGUCAAUCAUUUCAAAAAAUAUAGUUUAAGUUUGACCCCAAAAAUCUCUGGAUUUUCCUUGAAUUAAAACUUACAAAUUUUAGCAACAUAUAAGUAGUCAAAUUCCCUAUACACAAGAUUUGUAAGAAAGUGAUAAAGUCAAACUUAGAAGCUUCUUUUUUAAUGUUGUAAUUUAAUAUUUGUGAAAAAUUAAAUUUAUUUAAAGAAAUCGUGAAUAAUAUCAAUAGUUGUUGGGUAUAAUUGUAAAAUAUAUUACACUUUUAAAAGAAGGAUUUAGGUUCAAAUUUUAGAAAUAAUAUUAUUGAGAGAGACAACAAUAGUCAAAAAUCUAGAAAAGAUCAAUAUUUAUGAACCGUAAAAUGAACAUAAACAAUAUAUUGUUUUCGAAAAGAAAAUAAAUAUUGAAUAAUGAUCGUAAUUAGAUAAAUAAUAAUAUAAUUUUAAUCUUUUUAAAAUUACUAUAAAAUAUAUAUAGAUAAGAUAAACAAACAAAAUUAACAAGUAAUAAUUUAAAUUUGGAAGAACAAUUUAAAAUCAUUUAAUAUUUAUCCUAAGAAAUUUUCCAAAAUUAUUGAUCACAUUUAUCCAAAACUUUGAAAUCAUAUUAUUAUUUAAUAAUAUUAUUCUGUGUAUAUAUAUGUGGACAAACUCGCACACGUAAGACUCUCAUUCGUCUUUGUCGUUUGCCCUUUUUUUUAAAGCAUCUGAAUAAUCCUGUCACUCUUCUAACUUGUAUUCUAUUAAUUUUUUAGGUUGAUUAAUUAUUUUAUGAAAUUAUAGAAUAAAAUAUUAAAGAUUAAAAUAUGCUUUUAAGUUUAUAUACAUUUUGUAUAUUUAGAAUUUAGUUCUCUACUUUCUGAAUUUAAAAAUUUAAGUGUAAUAGUCACCACUAUUAAAAUUAUUCUACUAAAUUCACUACUAUGAUAUUUUAAAUAAAAAAUCGUAUAAUAAUAAAAAUAAUAUUGAAUCAAAUUAAAUUAAAAAAUAUAAAUUAAAUAUUAAGUUUUAACAUUAUAUAAGGGUAGUCUUAUAACUUAAAAAAACAUAAGAAAUACCUAAAAAAAAGUGUUCAAGUGGACUACUUAAUAACAUUAGAAAUUAUAAGGAUUAAAUUAUGUUAAAAAUUAAAUAUAUAAAUUUAAAUUUAAAUUUAGACAUAUUAAAAGGACUAAAACUAAAAUUUAAUUCUUUUAUGAAAUGCAAAAAAAGAAGAGAGAGAGAAAGGGAACAAUUAGGUGUGUGCCACGUGACAAAUGAGAGGUGAAAAAAUCAUUGCUUUUUUAAUUUAUAUCUAAAUAAACUUUUAAAAGAAAGAGUCUGAUUAAAUAAAUAAAUAACAACUUAUUUUAGUGUUGUUUUAAUAUUUUAACUUUUAAAUAUCUAAUUUUGUUUCAUUUCUAUGUACAAUAGCAACCUUAAAUUUGGAGUAAAAAAAAGCUUAAACUCUUAAAAAGGAUAAAGUUGUUUUUUAUCAUUUUAAAUUUGAGAACUUAUUACCAUUUAAAUAUAUUGGUAAUUUAAAUUCACGAUUUGACUAUUGAAGUAUUUUUAGUUUCACACUUUGAUACUUAAAUAUUUUUUGUCUCAAUUUGGUACUUAAAAAAUCAAUCAUUUCCUAAUUUGGAAUCUAAAGUAUGCAUCCAUUAUAUUUUUUAGAACAUUUUUUUACAGAUGUUAAAAAAAUAUGAUAGCCAAUCACAAAGUAUCAUGCAGCGGCUUUAUAUAAAAAUACAAACAUUUUCUUCUAUUAAAUGUAUAUAUACAUUAAAAAAAUAUGAAAAAUAGAAAUAAAUAUAUAAAAAUUCAAAAAUAAACAUAAAAUCUAGAAAAAAAAUAUAUAAAUUUAAAAAUAUUUUUUAAAAAUAAAAUAAAUUAGUUGAAAUUAAUAAUAUUAUUACAAAAAAGGUAAAAAAUAUUUAAAUAAGCUUUAAAAUAUUUUUUAUAAAAGUCUCAAAAUGUAUUUAAAUGUCAAGGUUUUUUUGCAAUUACUUGAAAUUUAAAUAAUUUUUAAAUUUUUUUAUAUAUUAUUUUGCCUUUUUAUAAUUUAAAAUUAUAUAUUUUAUAAUUUUAUAUAAAAAGAUUUAAAGUUUUUUUUAUAUAUUAUAUAAGAUAUUUUUACAUCUUUAGUCAAUAUAAUAUAUAAUAUUAAAAUAAAAAACCCUAAAAGAGCCAAGAGUGCUCUCCUUCGUAACCUAGCGAAAACAGUGGAUGUUGUGGCUUGAGAGGAUGGAAAGUGGUGGCGAAAAGGGGUUUGGGGGAGACGAAAUCUUUCUUCUAGCAGAAGAGCUUAUUCAACUACCAGUCAAGAGUUCAAGGGUGGAACCAAACGACAAGCCAACUCUAAUAUGUACAAUCUGGAUAGAGAAAUCCUACAAUCCAGGCAGCUUUAGGGCACAGAUGAAGAGCAUAUGGAAACCAAAGAAAAAAUUUGAGACCAAGCAUGCCGGGCAGAACCUUUUUUUGAUUAUGUUUGAAACUGUUGAAGAUUUAGAAACUGUUUUGGAAGGUCAACCAUGGUUAUUUGGGACGAAUUUAAUUAUCAUGGAUCGUUUAACAAAACCGAUAGAAAGAAGGCAGAUCAAUCUUGUCUCAUCCUCGUUUUGGAUUAAGAUAGGACCUUGCUUACCAGAGCUUGACAGGAAAGAUCUCUUGUAUGCUAUUGGAGUUACCUUUGGUGGCAUAACCAGAUCUAAAAUUAAUGGUGAGUUUUGUCGUCUUAGAGUUAAUUUAGAUGUGCAAAAACCUAUUAGGAGGGGUAUUUUUGUCUCAACAGAUAAUCGAAGUAAAUCUUGGAUUCCUUUUAAAUAUGAAAGAUUACCUACUUUCUGUUUUGGCUGUGGAAGAAUGGGGCAUGGCCUUCAAGAAUGCCAAGUGAUAAAACCUGCAGGAAAACUUAAAGUUAGAGAUAACCCACCUUUCUCUUUAGCGCUGAAGGCAGAAUUAAAUUUUCUUGGAAGAGAAAGUUUACAAUUUAAUGUUCUUUCAAAAAAGCUGCAACCCCAAUGUUCAUAUACAGGAAAUUCAAAGGAGAGCAAGAAUCGCAUGCGCAAGAAAAAGAGAGUACUGAUAUGCCUUUGGAAAAAAGGGUAGUACACAGUUGAUAGAAGCAGAGGAUGCGAAAGAAGGACAAAAGGAAGAGAUAAUCGUUGAAAGGGCAGUCGCUGGUAAUUAUUAUAUAGAUGAAGAUAUGCUGAAACCAAUCAAGAAAUCCAGUUGGAAAAGAAUUAACUUAGAAAGAGGGAGAAUAACUUAUGAGGGAGAGAACAAUUUGAAGAAAAGGAAAUCAGCAGAGGUUGAAGCUGAUAAGUGUCGUAUAGAAGGAUUCUCGGAUGAUACAGUAAAAAAGAUGAGAUAUGGUGGACAGGAUUUGGAGUAUGAUGAUAGAAUAUAUUUGAUGGAAGAUAAUUUCAACCAAAAAAGAUGGAAGAUAAUUUCAACCAAAAAAUAUCGGCGGUUGCCAUGAGGCAAGCCGAUCGAACGCAAUGAAAAUAAUAUGCUGGAAUAUCCGUGGACUGGGGAAUCCACGGGAAGUGAGAAGGCUUCGAUUUUCGCUGAAGCAACAAAAUCCCCAAAUGGUCUUAUUUAUGGAGACUAAAAUUGAUGAGAAGUGGAUGAAGAAAAUUAGGAGGAGAUGUGGUUUUGGAAAUGGGAUUGAUGUCAGUGCAGAAGGGUCUCGUGGAGGAAUUUGUCUAGCAUGGAAAGAAGAUAUCCAGGUUAGUUUAAAAACAUUCUCAUUAACUCAUAUUGAUGUGCUGGUGAAAGAAGAGAAUAUUACUGAGGAAUGGAGGUUUACAGGCUUCUAUGGGUCACCUUAUAUACAGAAUAAAAAUGUCUCAUGGAAUCUAUUGAGGAACUUGGGUAAGGAAUCGGAUCACCCUUGGCUAGUGGGUGGGGAUUUUAAUGAAAUAAUGUACUCUUUUGAAAACAGCGGGGGUCAACCAAGAGAGGAGAAGAGGAUGAAAGCCUUUCGUGAGGUUCUAGAAGAAUGUCAUCUAACUGAUGUGGGAUAUACGGGGGUAUGGUUUACAUAAGAAAGAGGGAAUAUGGCGGAAACAAAUAUCAGAGAGAGAUUGGAUAGGGAUGUCGCAAAUGAAAAAUGGAUAAAGCUUUUUCCAAGAGGUAAUGUUCAUCAUUUAACAUCUUCAUUAUCUGAUCAUUGCCCCCUUCUAAUUAAUACAACAACUGGAUAUAAUUUUAUGGGAAUUCCAAAUUUCAAAUUUGAGGCAUGGUGGACUAUGGAGGAAUCACUUGAACAAGAGGUCAAGAAAAUGUGGGAGUCAUCAAAUGGUUCGAUUGUUGAUAAAUUGCAAAGGUUGCAAAUUAGUUUGACAAGAUGGGCAAGGUCGAUAAAGAAGAAGAGGGACGAAUUGAAGAAUAAGCUUAUAAAAGAACUCGGAAACCUAAUGGAAAAGGAAAUAGAUGAUGAUAUACUGGCAAAGGAAAUAGAUACUAGAAUUCAGCUCAACAUGGAGAUAGAUAAAGAUAAAUUUUAUUGGGAGCAACGAGUACGAGCUAAUUGGCUCCAAUUGGGAGAUAGGAAUACAUCCUUCUUUCAUAGGUUUGCAUCCACACGAAGAAGGAUAAACACAAUUAGUAGGCUGGAAGCAGAUGAUGGUAAGGAAAUCUACAAAGAAUCAGAAAUAAGAGGGGCGACUACAACUUAUUUCCAGAAUCUUUUUACAUCUAAUGGUGUGGGACAUCUAUCUCAUCUUUUAUCAGGGAUUUAUAAUAGUAUUACGCAAGAUAUCAAUGCAACUUUAUUGGCGAAGUAUUCAGCAGAAGAAGUGUAUAUGGCACUAAAAAUAAUGGGGCCCUCUAAGGCACCAGGCCAUGAUGGCUUCCCGGCUUUAUUUUUCCAAACUUUUUGGCACAUCGUGGGACCAGAUAUCGUAGAUUUUUGUUUAGGUGUCCUAAACAAGGGGAAGGAUUUUAGAUUUUUCAACCAAACGGAAUUAGUACUUAUUCCAAAAACUUCUAAUCCUACAAGUCUUGUGAAUUUUAGACCAAUUAUCCUAUAUACAGUUAUAUAUAAAAUUAUCGCCAAAACAAUUGUGAACCGCUUUCAAGAAUUUAUCGGAAGAUACAUUGAUGAUGCUCAAAGUGCUUUUGUCCUAUGCAGGUUAAUAUCAGACAACGUGUUAUAGCAUAUGAGUUUUUACAUACACUACAACAAAAAUGGAUAGGGAAAAAGGGAUUCAUGGCAGUGAAACUAGAUAUGAGUAAAGCUUAUGAUAGAGUGGAGUGGGGUGUUUUGGAAGCAAUAAUGCUUUGAAUGGGAUUUGCAGUAGAAUGGGUGAAGUUAGUUAUGAAGUGUAUAUCCACUGCCUCGUAUGUAGUAACUAUAAAUGGGAGGCGUGGUGAUACUUUCAAACCUACAAGAGGACUCCCGCAAGGUGACCUACUUAGCUCUUUUCUUUUUCUAAUAUAUAGUGAAGGGUUAUUUACUUUGAUUAGGCUGGCGAUGAAAAAGAGAUUAAUAAAGGGUGUUAAGGCUAGUAGAAGAGGACCAGCAAUUUCACAUCUACUAUUUGCAGAUAAUUGUAUUUUGUUUGGUGAAGCUACAAAAGGUAGAACAAAGAUUUUAAAUGAUAUUUUAAGAGGAUACGAUCGAUGCUCCGGUCAAUGCGUAAACUUCAACAAAUCAACCAUUUUCUUUAGUUCAAAUAUGACAGAAAGGGACAAAGAAGAAAUCUCAAAUGAUAUGGGAGUGAAGUGUUCGACGAAUAUAGAGAAAUAUUUAGGCCUCCCUAAUGUGGUGGGUAGACGAAAGAAUGUGUCGUUUCAGAAUCUUAAAGAUAGGAUUAGGCAUAGAAUUGAAAACUGGAGCACAAGAUUAUUAUCUCAAGGAGGAAAUGAGGUGUUUAUAAAAUCCGUACUCCAAGCUAUACCAACCUAUGCCAUGACAUGUUUUCUUUUACCUAAGGCACUUUGCAGGAUUUUGAAAGUAUUUUUGCUCGUUUCUAAUGGCAAAAAGGAAAAGGGAAAAGAGGAAUUCAUUGGUGCUAAUGAAAAUUUAUGUCCUGUCCUAAAGUCAAGGGAGGAAUGGGCUUCAGAAAUAUGGCACAAUUUAACCUUUCAUUACUAGCCAAGAAAGGAUGGAGGAUGAUUAAUAAUUAGAAUUCUCUUGUUACACAAGUUUUUAAAGCUAAAUAUUUUUCGAAUGAUGGUUUUUUAAAUUUCUGAUUGGGAAACUCUAGCUCUUACGUAUGGAAAAGCAUAUGGGCAGCUAAAGGUAUCUUGGAAAAAGGAUUAUGUUGGAAGGUUGGUACAGGUCGUAACAUCUUUAUUAAUCAUGAUGCUUGGAUACCAGACGCGGCAAAUUUUAGAUUAUCAACAGAGAUUAAUGUUAUGUGUGAUACUAAAGUAAGUGAUUUGAUCGAUAGUACAACAGAAUAUGAAAUAAGGAGCUAAUUCGUAAUACUUUCUCAGAAGAGGAUGCUGCAAAAAUCUUUCGUAUUCCCUUGGCACAAGUAUUUCACGAUGACUUCCUCACAUGGGGGCAGAAGCUUCGGUCAAAUUCUCGGCACGUAGCGCCUACAAACUAUUACAAGUCUCUGAAGGAAUUUCUAGAGCUUAUGCUUUACAAACCAUCUAUAGGGACUUUUACAAAAAAACUCUGGCUACUAAACCUACUAGCAAAAAUAAAGUUUACAAUCUGGAAAAUUUCAUGGAACUACCUGCCUACAAAAACUAAUCUACUAAGUAGAAAUUUAGCAAACAAUACAAACUGUCCUCGGUGUGAAGGAAUGGCUGAAACCAUUGACCAUCUAUUCCGAGAAUGCCAUGUUACAGUGGAAGUAUGGACAGUGUUAUCCAUCCAGAAUAUAGUCAUGGUUCAAAAUAUGGAAUUCUUACAGUGGCUCACCUGGGUUUUUGAGUAGUUCACUCGUUGCGAAUGUAGUCUUUUCUACUGCGCCCUUUGGGCCAUCUAUGGAGACAAAAAUAAAAGAAUACAUGACGAAAAGGUUAAUACGGGCAAGGAAAUUGCAAGCUUCAUUAUCAGCUACAAUAAUGAGAUUACUGGUUUUGGAAAAAAAAGACUUCAGAAAGAAAAGUAGACAACAGUACAUGGCAGUUCCACCUUAUGAGUUCGUUAAGAUCAAUUUUGAUGGUGCGUAUAAUGAAAGAACACAACAAUCGGCCACUGGUGUAACGUCCCCUAACCCUAUACCGUCACCGAAACAGGGUUACGAGACAUUACCAGUCAGUACAGUCCAAUUCCAGUCAUUAAUUAAAAUAAAUAUUCACAAACAUCCUAGUUUUAAGAUGUCGUCCCUUUAAUGGGCCUUUGCGGUCCAAUAUGAACAGUAAAUUCAAUUCGGGGCUAAUUUAGAAUCACUACGAAUUUUUAGUAAAUUUCAAAAUUCAUACUACAUACCGUUGCCAACCAUAAUUUACUCAUUUCAUCAAUACUUCUACAACCUAAAUGACUCUCAUUAAACAUCCUGGGUACAUGCCACUAUCAAUACUCAACAUACUUUACCUUAAUGAAUUCGGGAUCAUCCUGGGAUGCUGAUUCAACGUACUAUCUUUACUUAACCUGCGCACGAAAACAAACCGUACGCUGAGUAUGGUAUACUCAGUGGUAUUUCUAUAAUCCGAACAAUUUAUAAUAUAACAAAUACUUAAGAUCAUAAUAACAAUUACAAUUAUUCAAUUAUUUAUUCAUAGAUAAAUUUCAACUACUUACCAUAUAAAUUUUAUACAAAUCAUAUAAUAAACACAAUAACAUAAUUGUUCAAUUCUUAACUAAAUCCAUUAUUAUUUACUCCAUUCUUUCACUUACUAUUCGGUAUAGCUUUCCUUAAUUUAUUCACAAUUCAAUAUCAUUAAACUAUAUUCAACUAUACACUUAUCAAUCAUAUUCCAUUUUAAUUCAUUUCAAUAACAAUCAAUUUCAUUUAUAUCAUAUCAACUUACUAUCCCUAAUAGCUUUCACUAUAAACAUACGAUUCAUAUAUCUCAAAUCACAUUUCAAUUCAUCAAGUGGCAUCAUAUAUCAUCAAUUCGAACUCCAAUCAUUUCAUGAACCUUUGGUUCAUAUUUUCAAUUUCAUAUAAAUUUUCAAUUCUCAAUUCAAUUUCUCGUUUCAUUUCAAUAGCUUGAUCAAUCAAAUUUAUUCGAUUUAUCUUUCACUUAGUUACCCCUAUUAACAAACCCGGACUUUGACGGAUACACGGAUUCCAACUCAAACACACCAGUACGGCACAUUGUGCCUAAAACGAUACAUAGUACCUGAUCAGAGUACGACACAUAAAGUGCCUAAAAUGACACACGAGGUGCCUGAUACGACACACGAGGUGCCUGAAAUACGACACAUAAAGUGCCUGAUCAGUAAAGCCGGCAAAUCCCGUACACUUCCAGAUCCUAUGGCAUGCCAAUUAUAUCCGACUCAGCCCGACUAGUUAAUAGGGUAUUUCAUUCACUUUCUCAAUUUAAUAAUUCUUUCAUCAAUAUACCAUUUUGAUAAUCACAUAUAUUCACCCAUUUUCACAAUUCAUACAAUUUCAUUCAAUUCAACAAUAUAUUUCAAUUAUUCACAUUAAUUCAUAAUUCAAUACAAUUCAAUUCACUUUUCAAUAUCAAAUAUUCAAAUAUCACAAUCUCAUAUAUUCAUAUCAAUUUCCUCAUAUUUCCAAUCAAUAUAUUUUUCAAUAUAACAUUCAUUCAAUAUUCAAAUUUCUACAUAAAUCAUAUAUAUUAUAUAAUUCAAUCAAUAUAAAUUCAAUCAAAAUAAUUUCAAUAAAUAUAAAUUCAAUAAAUUCAUCGCAUACCAAAAUCAAUCCAUUCCAAUUGUAAAACAUCAUAAUUCUAACACUAACAAUUGCCAUAUGUAUAUAAAUAUGACAAAUAAUAACUAAGUUUGGAUUAUAGAAAUACAAACCGUAAUUUUCGAGCUAACUCCAGUUGACUUUGUCUUGUCCUUUCUUAGCCGAGAUUUCCGGUACCACAUUGACUACGAAAUUAAUACAAUUCAUAAUCAUUAAUACAUUAAUAAUUUAUAUCUUGAGUUACAGAAUAUUUUUCCUAAAACUAGACUCACAAAUCUUAUUACAAUAAAAUUUUCAGAAUUUUUGGUUUAGCCAUUAAAUACAGUUUAUUCUUUAAAUUCACCCCUAUUCUGCUGUCUGACAGUUUCGUCCCUUCUUCACUAAAAAUUAAUUAUCUCACAAUACAGAACUUGGAUAAUAUUCCCGUUGAUUUCUCCUGAAAAUAGACUCAUUAUGGAUUCUAAACACAUAACUUUAAGCCUCUAAUUAUUUUUCUUAAAUUUUUGGUGAUUUUCCAAAGUCAGAACAGGGAAACCCGAAUUCAUUCUGACCUUAUCUCACAAAAUUCAUUAUAUCUCAUAAGUUACAACUCAAUUGCCGUUUCUUCUAUAAAAAACUAGACUCAAUAAGAUUUAAUUUCAUAUUUUAUUCAUUCUCUAAUUCAAUUUCUACAAUUUUUUGUGAUUUUUCAAACUUAGACUACUGCUGCUGUCCAAAAUAGUCUUAGUACAAAAUAUUGAUUUACUUUAAUUUCAAUUUAAUCCUAACUAAAUUCACUUACUUUUCUAUCUUAAUUCAUACUUUAUUUCUACUCAAUUUUUUAACCAAACUUAGACAUAAUUAUCUAUUUUUCAUCAUAAAACCAUAAUUUUGAAAUUCUUUCAAUUUAGUCCUAAAGCAUAAAACUUAUGAAUCACUUUACAAUUCAAUCCUUAUAUCAUUUCUAACUUGAAUUUCUAUCAAUUUAGCCCUUAAUUCAUCAUUUUAUUUAACAUGAACAAUAUCUAGAAAUCUAAUAACUUUCAAAAUAUCAACUUAGUUUCAUCAAAACUUUGUUCUAAAACUUCUAAAACAUCAAAAUUAAGUAAAAAGGACUUGAUUGACUUACCUAUUAAAGCUUAAAGCUUCAAACCUUCAAUUUUCUCUUUUCUCCCUUUCUUUCUUUCUUUUUCUCCCCUGCUCUCUGUUUCGUUUCAUUUUGUUUCUAUUUCCUUUCUUUUGUUUCUUUAGUUUAUAUAAUAUAAUAUAAUAUAAUAUAAUAUAAUUAAAACAUAAAAUAUCUUUAUUAUAUAAUAAUAUAAUAAUAUAAUAAUAUACUAAACAUAAAAAAAUUCUUAAAUUUUCUUCACGGUACACCGCCUCAAUUUAUACUUUUUGUAUAAUUUCCUUUUUAGUCCUUUUUCUUUUCUUUUAAUCUAUAAUUCAACUUUUACCCCUUAUUCAAUUUAGUCUUUUUUCUUAAUUACUCUUAAUUAAAUUAAAUUAAAUUCACUUAAUUAAACUCUAAUUAACUACUCAUUUUACUUCGUAAAUAUUUUUAAUAAAUAUUUACGAAUCCAUUUUUCAGAAACGGAGACCCGAAAAUAUACUUUUUCGGUAACGGUAAAAUUCGGGUCAUUACAACUGGUAUAAUAGUUAGAAAUGAGGAAGGAAAAGUCCUCUUCUCGUGUUCAGAGAUACAUCAUGAGAUUACCUCAGCUUUUGCUGCUGAAGCAGUAGCAUGCCAGAAAGCAGUUCAAGUAGGGGUAGAAAGGGGUUGGCAGUCUAUUAUCAUUGAAGGUGAUUCCCUCGCAAUAAUCAAAAAAUGCAAGACACAAAGUCAGGAUCGAUCACUAAUAACGUCAUUUAUACAUGAUAUAAAUAGGUGACAAAGGGAUCUAAUAAAGUCAGGUUCAAACACAUACUGAGAAAGGCAAACGCCCUUGCUCAUCUCCUUGCAACAGAAACUUUAAAACGAAAGGGAAGAGGUGUACCUGGAAAUGGAAGUUCCUGCAUAUGCCAAAGAUCAAAAAUGGAUUGACUAGAUGCGAGAACCGGAUUGAGGUGUCUGCUGGGGAAGAAGGAAGGAGGAGGAAAAGCUUCAUUGAAUUUUUUUUUAGAAGAUAAGUUUUGGAAAACUGAAAGCGUCAAUACUGAUGGAAAUGAUGGAAAGACAGUCCACAGUUUUCAGAAUGUUUUGAUUGGCAAUGGUUUGGCGCAUUAACUGCUGUUCCAGAAUUUUCUAUUAAAAUAUCUAGAUAUUUUGUUAUAUUUUUAGGAUAGCUGUUUUAUCAGGUUUUAUAUUGGACCUCUAUUUUUAGGGCCGUGCUAUUUUGAUAGAUUUGGACUAGUAUAUCCAGUGAACAUAUUUGUAUUUACUUUUAUCAUAUUUAUAAAAGCCCAAUCUGACUUAUAAAAAAAAUAUAAUAUUAAAAAAUAAAAAGGUUUUUAAUUCAAAUUUAAUAUUUUUAUUUUAAAUAAAUCUAAUUGCCACAUACAUUUUUCCAUUGGCCAAAGCGGCCUAAUAGAUUUUUUUCUACUGCUGUUACAAAAUGGACCAAAAAUAGAGAAAAUUGAAACUUUAAGUACUAAAUUGGAAGUUUAAGUAUCAAAAUGAAAAAUGAGUAUACUUCAGGGGCUAAAUUGUAAAUUAAGCCAUAUAAAUAUUGUACUAGUUUAUUUAUUUUUUAAAUAUAGGUAAAAAAACAUGUUUAAGGUAUUGAUUUGACAGUAAUGAAACUUCGUUGAAAAACGUGAAAAUUGCUUGUGGCUACCACCGGUACUGGCUGACACCGAAGUAUUGCGUCCAACUGCUUUUACAGUUAUACGUAUUCACCAAUCAUUUGAUUAGAUUCAUAGUUAUUCCAAUCAAUAAACUAUACACUGUUAAUUAUACCGGGUAUAUGUCCGACACACUACAUAUUUAAAAAUAAAAUAUAAUUUCAAUUGAGUCUUAUUUUACAUGGCAUAGUUAUUGUUGUCAGUAUAAGAUGACAUAAGUUGGAGUAUGCUAAAAUGCAUUAGCAUCUUAUUUAAGGGUUAAAGAAGGACUACGAAUAGUUCUAGGUAUUAUAUAAAAAAAAUCCAAUCCCUUCUUUACAUGCUUUUUUUUUCGUUUAGGUAUUCUCCCAAUGAUUUUUCGUAUAUUUUAAUUUCAUCUUCGUGCUUUUAUUUUCAGAAAUUUAGUCUUUUUUCUUUUCAGAUUUCAAAAUUUAGGUCCAAUUGUUAACACCGUUAAAUUCUUUUGUUAAAUAUGCUAAUGUACAUUUUAAAAUUUUUUUAAAAAAAUCACUCGAUAAUUAUGUAAUAAGAAAUGACAUUGUAAUGGAUCUUAAUUAAUUAAAAAAUUUUAAUGAUGUUAACAUUUUUAAAAAGUCAUAAUAAGUUUUCAAUAAGAAGAAAUUAUAGGCUAAGUAAUGAUAUUAUAAUAAUUGAGAUAUUAAAUUAUAUAAAAAUUUAAAAUAUAAAGAUUAAAUAUUGAAUUCAAAAGUUGUAUAAGGACCAUUUUUUUCAAAAAAGGUCAACAUCAAAGGAUUUGAUUGAUAGCUGUCGCAUAGACAUUUAAGGAUUGAUUUUUUUUAUUCGAAUUUAGACCGAUUGUUAUUAUUAUCAUUAUGUACUAAAUAUAAAUUAAUCAUUAAAAAAUAUCAAAUUGUAUACUUUUUAAUAAUUUUAUUAUUUUUAAAUUUUUUAAAUUUUAAAAAAUUACAAUUACUGAUGCCACAUUCAUAAGACAAUUUAUGUAUAUAUUACAUUAACAAAUUAAUAAAAUUAAAAAAGACGAAAAAUUAAAUAAAAAUUUAAAAUAGUUAUUUUUAUAAAAUUAGAAGACGAGAUGCUAUGAGCAGGUGCACAAUUAUAUAUAAAAUUAUAAACAUCACUAUAUUUAUACUUUAAUUUGUACUUAGAAACUUGAAAAAAAAUUAUAUUGUUGAAUCUAAGAGCUAAUCAAUCCAUGGGUGAUUUUAGAAAGUGAUGCUUGUACAUUGUUUUUAUAAAUUGAUAGAGUUGAGAUUUUAAUAAUUUAAUCGAUGUAAUUAACAGCUUAUAAUUAAAAAUAUUUUGACUUGGUAAAAAUGAAAAAUUCAAAAAUAAAAAACUAGUUAAAAGUGAAAAAAAGAAAUUAAUUUUUUUAUUUAUUUCUAACCAAAAAAUUGAAAUUAAAAUAUAUUUUAGUUAAUUUGAUAUUCCUACUAUUAGAAAAGGGAGUGGGUGGAGGCCAACAAAAGGUAGUCUCCAACCCUCAUUUACCAACAGACCCUUCCGAGAAAUAAAUGGAAGAGUUCCCAUCAAAAUAGUUUUCUCAAUAGUUUAAUAACUCCUUACUUUUGAGGCCUCUAGUAUUUUACUAGAAAUUCGUGGAGAAUAUAUAAAUUGAGUUUUCAAGUUGAAGUUAAUUUAAAUUUUACAAUUCGAAAAUGUGAAAAUUGAUUCUUCUCAAAAAUAAAAAUAUUUAAAAUAUUUUAAAAAUAAUUUUUCCAAACAUUCAUAAAUGUAUAUUAAAAAAUUACUAAAAAUCCUAAAAGAUAUAUAAAAUUACUAAUUAUAAUUUUUUGACAUAAUGAUUUUUUGGACCAUUCAACUUUACACUUAGCCUUCCAUUUAAAUUUUUGUCUAUUUUAAUUCUUGAAUUUAUAUUUUUUUUGUCAAAACACCUUAAAUUGGAUGAGAAAGUUAAUAUUUGGUAACAUUGCUUAUGUGACAUAGACGUAGGUUAUGACAUAGAUGUCACAUCAAUAAUUAAUUUUAAAAUUUUAAAAAAAUAUUUUUUAUAUAAUUUGAAUAAUUUUUAAUUUUCAAAAAUAAUUUUUUAUGGUUUUUUUGAAUUUUAAAAAUAAUUAAAUGUUAAUGUAUCUACACAAAAUAAAUAAAAAAAUGUUAGCUUUUUUUUUUAUAACACAAGCUUAAGGAUUAAAAAAAGGUAAAAAAUGAAAUGAAUAGCUAACUGACUUUUCUGUAAAGUUAGAGGGCUAAAUAAGUGAUUAUACUUUUUUAAAAAAAAUUCUAAAAUGAUAAAUUUGAGGCUUAAAACAAGUAAAUUAUGAAAUCAUGUUUAUCAUAUUAUCUUGUUUUAUUUUCUUAUUUUAUUUUAGAAGAGUUUUCAAACAUACAUGAUAUUUAUAUUUUUUAAUUUGGAAUUUAGUAUUAUUGUCUACAAGAUUUCAAUAGGAUCUGUUUAAUUUUUUAAAAUUUAAUUCUAAUAAAUUUAUUUGACACAGCUCGACUCAAAUCUUAUUUUACUCGACUUAAUUUAAGAAAAUUUUGAAUUGAAUUAGAAUGAUAGAAUAAGACUCGUUAACUUAACUAAGUGACUAAAUUUUUUCACUCCAAUAGAUUUUAUGUUAUAAUUGAAACUUCUUAAAGCUCACAAUAAGACAAUAAUGAAGGUAAGAAAAGGAUUUGAUAAUUUUUUAAUAAUUAAAAAUCAAUCAAAUGUGAGGAAUUAUUGAAAUUAAGAAUUGUGUUAUAAAUAUAGGAGAGAGAUUGAGUGCACGGGUGUAAAACAUAAAUAGUUUUACAUCUUUUUGUAUAUUUUUAUAGAAAUAAUAUUUGCAUGUCAAUUUGUUAUCGUUGAUUCCGAUACAUAGAAAGACAUUGAUUCCAAUAAUAACAAUUUAUUAUAAAUAGAAACGGAAUUCAUUAAAGAAACAUUAAAAAGGGCAAAGAGAAAAGAAAACAAGUAACUCAAAAAUGAUUUAAUUUGAGUUAUUGUAGGCAUUAAACCAUGAAUUUUACCAAACCUGAGUUUAUCUUUUAUUCUUUUUUCUUAAAUUAUUGGAAAUAAAACAUGAAAAAAGAAAACCUGAAGGACUACCUGUUGACAUCAAUUUAAUUCAAGAGGGGAUAUGAAAAUUAUAUAUUAUAGUUUUAUCGUAAUUAAAAAAUUUACACAAUAGAAAAACACCAAGUUGCAUGUGACUAGUAAUAAGCCAAAAGCAAAAAGUAGCCAACUAAUUGACUCCUUGUCUUUACAUUAUGUUGCUGCCAAACAAGUUUGAUUAGUGGGUGGAGCUGAAUCUCACAUGCUUUGACCUAACCUCUUCAUUUAUUUAGUCUAUAUAUUCCGAACCAAAGCUGGUUUUCAGAAUGUACCACUACCACUGGUGUCUCUUCAUAUUUGGUCCUUCCGGUAAUUCACCAUGCCAUCAUUCGAUACUAUCCUCCUUCGGGAUUUGGUAGCUGCAGCCUGCCUCUUCUUUAUCACACGUUAUUUCAUCCGUCGUCUUCUCAGUAACCCCAAACGAACACUUCCUCCGGGUCCGAAAGGGUGGCCGGUUGUGGGUGCUCUUCCACUCUUAGGUUCCAUGCCCCAUGUCGAACUAGCCAAGUUAGCCAAGAAGUAUGGACCUGUAAUGUACCUCAAAAUGGGAACCUGCAACAUGGUGGUGGCUUCAACCCCGGAUACCGCUCGAGCUUUCCUUAAGACCCUUGACUUGAAUUUCUCUAAUCGACCAUCCAAUGCUGGUGCCACCCACAUAGCCUAUAACUCUCAAGACAUGGUGUUUGCUGAGUAUGGUCCGAGGUGG
rnacentral:lncRNA from 1 species